UACCAGCACCCCGAGUGGUCGGGACGUUUAUUGGGCCUAAAGCAUCCGUAGCCGGUUCUACAAGUCUUCCGUUAAAUCCACCUGCUCAACAGAUGGGCUGCGGAAGAUACUAUGGAGCUAGGAGGCGGGAGAGGCAAGCGGUACCCGAUGGGUAGGGGUAAAAUCCGUUGAUCCAUUGAAGACCACCAGUGGCGAAGGCGGCUUGCCAGAACGCGCUCGACGGUGAGGGAUGAAAGCUGGGGGAGCAAACCGG
rnacentral:rRNA from 1 species